GUAAUGUCCAAGUUAACAGGAGACAACAAGUAGUUCCUUUGAGUCUACUUUGAGCUAGUUCGGUGACGAUUGCAAACGUGUUCAUCUGCUCGAAUCUCAUGCCAAACAAAGUAUCAUCGUUUUACCCUUUUUACGGUCAAUAAACCUGUGGACUAGAAGACGUUUUUCAGAGUGUUUGAUCAAAGUACGGUGUUAGGGUAAAGCCAAGAUAUUUCUACAUAUCGAGGGCGGCACAAUCAGUGAGAGCUUUGAAUGGUUGACCAAAUAUUUAUUUUCCACCAUAAUUUACAAAUAAAUUCUUUAAAAUACCUACAA